UGCGUAGGAUGCAAGCGUUAUCCGGAUUCAUUGGGCGUAAAGAGUGCGUAGGCGCCUUAGUAAGUCGCGUUUUAAAGACCAGGGCUCAACCCUGGGAAUGAGUGCGAUACUAUUGAGGUUGAGGAUCGAUCAGGGUACCAGAACAGCUAGAGUAGCAGUGAAAUGCGUUGAUAUUAGCUGGAAUACCAAAGGCGAAGGCAGGUACCUGGGUUUUUCCUGACGCUGAGGCACGAAAGCCAGGGGAG
rnacentral:rRNA from 1 species